CGCCCUGAAGUUGAGAGGGCGAGUCUGUCCGACCUGAAGCCCACUUGUCCUGAGGUCGGGUCUUCUUUUCUCUCGGUCCCAAGCACUAUGGUCAUCCGGGCUCUCCUUUUUACGAGUGGGACCACGUAUUGGUUUAUCAGGUUCUUGCUAUGUGGCUCUAUCUUAUGGUGACAGCUCACUGCCUACUUUGGAAGAUUGUUGUGUAACAUUAGAGAUCCCCCUGUUGGUCUUCGAUUCUUUAGAUUCGAAAGUAACAAUUCUCAUCAUGAUCUGGGGCAUGUGGCUUGUUUGUCCGAGCUGAGCGCAUGAUGUUCUUGCUUUCUUCUUAUUUGCCUUGCCAACUAGUUAGGUCCAAGAUCUUGUCUGGAAAAAAUCGAUAAAGUGAUAUAAUAAUGCCUUAACGGGUUUCCAGGCUCUUUCUAGCACCAACUAGCCCUAGAGAUAAUUUGGGCAUCUUCUAGCCCUUACGAGCUCCUUCGCCUUUUCCAGUCUUAUUGAGCUUCUGGGUAUUUUUCAGCCCUGAUUACAGACGUAAAUGGGAUCUAUUAGAUUAUAACUGUUAACGGUAGCUUCCUUGUGGAGCCUCACCCUGAAGUUGAGAGGGCGAGUCUGUCCGACCUGCAGCCCACUUGUCCUGAGGUCGGGUCUUCUUUUCUCUCGGUCAGGCACUAUGGUCAUCCGAGCUCUCCUUUUUACGAGUGGGACCACGUAUUGGUUUAUCAGGUUCUUGCUAUGUGGCUCUAUCUUAUGGUGACAGCUCACUGCCUAUUUUGGAAGAUUGUUGUGUAACAUUAGAGAUCCCCCUGUUGGUCUUCGAUUUUUUAGAUUCGAAGGUAACAAUUCUCAUCAUGAUCUGGGGCAUGUGGCUUGUUUGUCCGAGCUGAGCGCAUGAUGUUCUUGCUUUCUUCUUAUUUGCCUUGCCAACUAGUUAGGUCCAAGAUCUUGUCUGGAAAAAAUCAAUCAAGUGAUAUAAUAAUGCCUUAAUGAGUUUCCAGGCUCUUUCUAGCACCAACUAGCCCUAGAGAUAAUUUGGGCAUCUUCUAGCCCUUACGAGCUCCUUCGCCUUUUCUAGUCUUAUUGAGCUUCCGGGUAUUUUUCAGCCCUGAUUACAGACGUAAAUGGGAUCUAUUAGAUUGUAACUGUCAACGGUAGCUUCCUUGUGGAGCCUCGCCCUGAAGUUGAGAGGGCGAGUCUGUCUGACCUGCAGCCCACUUGUCCUGAGGUCGGGUCUUCUUUUCUCUCGGUCCCAGGCACUAUGGUCAUCCGAGCUCUCCUUUUUACGAGUGGGACCACGUAUUGAUUUAUCAGGUUCUUGCUAUGUGACUCUAUCUUAUGGUGACAGCUCACUGCCUAUUUUGGAAGAUUGUUGUGUAACAUUAGAGAUCCCCCUGUUGGUCCUCGAUUUUUUAGAUUCGAAGGUAACAAUUCUCAUCAUGAUCUGG
rnacentral:lncRNA from 1 species